rnacentral:lncRNA from 1 species
GUUUUAAAUAAGAAAUUUAUUGCAAAUAUAGAAAUUGAUUCUCUCCAUACAGGAAUCUCCAAGUUGAGGAAAACAAUUUCGUGCCAUUCAGUUUAAAAUAGGAAAUUGGGAGGGAGAGGCAGAUACAGGGAAGAGAAAAUAAAUGAAGUCACCCCCCCCACCCUGAAAAGAAGAAAAGGAGCGUACAUCCCCCCCCACCCAAGGAGGAAAAGGUCCGGUCCACACAGCGAAGGUUCACAGGUUCGUAGCCCGGGGGCCCGGAGCCCAACUCUGCAGGACCCAAACCAGGUGCCAAGCCGCGAGGCAGGGCCGAGGGGCUGGUGGCUCCUCGGGGAGGGAAGGAGCGAGCGAGGGUGGACCCCUCGCCCCUGCCCAGCCCUGUGCUUCUUUGGGGAGGGGCAGGGGAAGGGGAGGCCGCCCAGACCCUCCCCCCACCCCAUCCCAACCCCUCUCCUCCCGCCACUGCUCAGCAGCAGUGAUGGACCUUUAAUGGGGGCCUCGGAGGCAGGCGUGAGAGCACAGAGCCUCAAGUACUGGUUCUGUCUGAAGGGUGGGAGGCUGGACGGUCAGGCUGGAGGGUGGAGGAGCCUGGCAGCUCCUGGGGCUGAGGUGGCCGUGGAGCAGAAGUCUUAGCAGAGAGGGGAACAGCCCCAGGACCCUAACUGGCACACAGGGCUCCCGGGCAAGCUGCAGCCCUGCCCCUUAGGCCCGGUGGGGGUCAGACCCCCCAGGGGGCUUCCCCGGGCCUUAACCACCCAGCCAGCACCCGGCAGAGAGAGGGCCCUGCUCCGCCAGGAACGGGGUGGGAUGCUGCCGACUCUGGGGGUCCUCGCAGGGCAGGGGCAAAGCAGUGGGGGGCAUCCCAGGAGGUCCUUGGGGACAUCGGGCCCUUCUGAGCCGUCCUCCCCUACCUCCCGUCCCCUCCUCACAUGGCCAGCGGGCUACUCCUCUGGCUCUCGUUGUUCAGAGCUUGGCUCCGAGGGCUUCCCCAGCCCCUCCCCACUCCAUCGCCCUAUUUUAAUUCUCUGCACAGUGUCCAUCUGUGGAGGAGACCUUGUGGCUGUCCCGUGUCGCUGCACGUAAGCGCCUUAUAACCUACUGCGCUUGUCCCCCGAUGCCUGCCCCCCUUUCUGGCCUCAGUCUGUCUUUAACGGGUUUUGAGACCCUACAAGCUUUCCUUCCCUCUCCCUCCUCCCUGUGCUUCCUCCUCUGCUAAAAGUCCGGGACACAGGGGUGGGGAACAUCAGAGACCCUCGGCCAGGCCCAGACUCUCAGCCCUGCCCUGGGAAGAGGGGGAGCAGUGAGAGGCGAGGGGCCAAGGCAGGCCCCUCCUGCCGGGGCGGCGAGUGGGGGAUGAACCAGCCCCGGCCCCUUGAGGUGGUGGCCACAGCAGGCCGAGCUUCCUUCCUGCCAGGCCUCUGCCUUUCACUUCUGGAAGGCCACAAGCUCCAACAGACAGGCACCCAGGGAAUUUCCUCUGGCGAUUCCAGCACGUCCAGGCCGUGGCCCCAGGUCCUGCCAUUACAAACACAGGGCCCCGGCCAGCCAUGUUCUCCUCAACAUAAAUGUCAUUUGUUUUUUGUGAAGAUUUUGCCCCCCGCCCCCAGGGAACGUGAUCCUGAAUCGGACCCAGGACAGGGAUACAGGAAAACCCCCAGGAUGAGCUACCGUGCGGUGGGGCCUUCCCUGGAGCAGGGGCAGGGGCCUGGCCUGGGCAGCUGAGGGAGGCAGCCUGGCCCCAGCAGGCAGAGGCCUGAGUUUGAGACCCUAUUCUGCCUCAAAGAUCCGUGUGACCUGGGUUGUGAACUGUUGGUUCACCUCCUGGAGUGGAAAACUCUGGCGGUUAAGAAGGGGACCUGGCCUUUAAAGGCCUCCCCCCACCCCUGGAAGUGAUUCUGAGGUUUCUAGAGGUCAUUUUCAACCAGGAAUGAUGGAAUGGCAAGGGUGGUGGGGGACUGUGGCUCCUGCUGCAGCCCACCCCCCCCCCACCCCGGUGAGCCCAGGCCAAUGUCAGGGGGCCCGCCGUCUCCCCAGGGAUCCCUCCCUCAGGAACCCAAACCUCCCUGUAAAGCUGAGCACGAAGCCCCAAGCUCUUGGCCUCUGUCCUCAGCAGUGUGACUGACCCCUCACCUGGCAGCCACAUCACCAGACCCCUCUCUCGCUGCCCCCUCCCACUUCUUCCUCUGCAAAAUGGGAGCAGGUGGGAAGAGGGGGGGCUCCUCCCAGGCUCCCUCCCCUGGGCUGCCCCUCCCUGGCUGGGAAGAGGGGAAGGGGCCAGGGUAGAUGGGAGGAGGGGAGGCGGCACUUGUGGGGACAUCGGGGCGGGGGCUGUGCUGUCGUGGCACCUGUUUUGGGUCUUUUGCAGAGCUGGCCCCUGCCCGGGUUUCAAGAGCUGCUUGUCAGAUCACAACAGAGGGAAUGUGGAAAUGGGGGGGGCGGCGGGGAGGCGGGGCAAGGGAGUCUGGACAAACUGGCACAUACACGACAGAUGUUUGCUCAGAAAAAUACAGUAAAAUCGUCAUGCAAAUAUAACAGGGAAUCUGC